rnacentral:rRNA from 1 species
GCAGUCGAGCGGAAGGCCCUUCGGGGUACUCGAGCGGCGAACGGGUGAGUAACACGUGAGCAACCUGCCCCAGGCUUUGGGAUAACCCCGGGAAACCGGGGCUAAUACCGGAUAUGACCUUGCACCGCAUGGUGUUUGGUGGAAAGUUUUUCGGCUUGGGAUGGGCUCGCGGCCUAUCAGCUUGUUGGUGGGGUGAUGGCCUACCAAGGCGACGACGGGUAGCCGGCCUGAGAGGGCGACCGGCCACACUGGGACUGAGACACGGCCCAGACUCCUACGGGAGGCAGCAGUGGGGAAUAUUGCACAAUGGGCGGAAGCCUGAUGCAGCGACGCCGCGUGAGGGAUGACGGCCUUCGGGUUGUAAACCUCUUUCAGCAGGGACGAAGCGUAAGUGACGGUACCUGCAGAAGAAGCGCCGGCCAACUACGUGCCAGCAGCCGCGGUAAGACGUAGGGCGCGAGCGUUGUCCGGAUUUAUUGGGCGUAAAGAGCUCGUAGGCGGCUUGUCGCGUCGACCGUGAAAACCUGGGGCUCAACCCCAGGCCUGCGGUCGAUACGGGCAGGCUAGAGUUCGGUAGGGGAGACUGGAAUUCCUGGUGUAGCGGUGAAAUGCGCAGAUAUCAGGAGGAACACCGGUGGCGAAGGCGGGUCUCUGGGCCGAUACUGACGCUGAGGAGCGAAAGCGUGGGGAGCGAACAGGAUUAGAUACCCUGGUAGUCCACGCUGUAAACGUUGGGCGCUAGGUGUGGGGGGCCUCUCCGGUUCCCUGUGCCGCAGCUAACGCAUUAAGCGCCCCGCC